UAUUCUUUUUUCCUUGAGGGCACGUCAGAUAGGGGGCUUGACACUUGGAAGAUAUUCUUGGUGGAAAAUUGUGGAGGGAAGCUGAGCUGGACAUUUUGGGGAAACAGAAAAAACAUGACAUCACAACCGUUUGGGGUCUGGAGAAUUCCGGGAGCUUCAGGAGAAUCAUCGCAGCAUCGCAUACUGAUAGGAGAGGUCUCCAUUAAGCAGCAGAGAAGAAGAUCAGUUCUCGGCUAUCCAUCUGAUCACUUCCAUCAUACAUCGGUUUUAGCUAGAUUAUCCUCCUACUCCCGCAGGAGAAUUAGGAUUCUGUUGAUUGCACAUUCCUCUUUUCUGCAACCAGAGAUCUUGGACUUCUGGAGGUUUUCAGAUCUGGAGGAGGGUGUCAUGUCCAUUAGCAGCUCCUGUUUUGGAAGGGGAUACAGUCACUUGAAGCCAGGUUGAUCUUGUCGAAUGGGAGCACUCUCAGGAAAGGAUGGGACAACUCGAUUCAUUAUGGCAGUGGAGGCCUGCUGAUGUUGAGAAUUGGAAAGUGGCCAUGACUCUGAGAGGCCACACUGCUGAUGUGGAGGAUCUUAAUUGGUCUUCUGAUAACUCGAUAUUGGCAAGCGGAAGUUUGGACAACACAAUCCAUGUCAGGAACAUGAGCAAUGAAUCUGCACCUGAUCCACUCCUUUCACCAUUUCUCUGCAGUACAUCUAUUUCAGAUGGAAACCAGCAGAAUAAAUGCUCUAGUGUUAAUGCUUCAUUUGCUUCUGAUAUGAAAAGCAUUGUGCCAUCAACACCUUGCUUGGCAUCUAUUGGGUUUUCUUUCUUGUAACGCUGAUGAUCCCCAACACUCUGGAGUUCUCAUUUUGUGUUCCCUUAAUGCCAAGCUUCCCAGUCAUCAGCCUUGGCACUUAACCACUUGUGAGAGGGCAGCUACAGAGCUUACGUGAAGUAAUUGAUCCAUGUCUCAAUAGUACUCUGGACCAGUUCGUGACUCAACUUCCGCCACAGUCGUUGAAAUUUCCAACACCUCAAUGGCCCUCUCUGGCUCGUUUUCCUACGGUUCUGCACUGGGCAUUGUUCGAACAAUGGAAUGCUUACAUUCUCACAGGAUUAUACAGAGCAACCUGGAACCACCCCAAAGGUGUAUCGUCAUUUCUAAUAUGAAAGAUCUUGUUACAGAAAAACCGGAAUAACUCCUUAUUAAGAUCCCUCGGCUCUUUGAACAUGCCCAAUCUGCAUGAGGGGCAAGCUGCAGUUCAUCUUCAUCCUCUCAUAAGCGAGGAAGUUGCUGAAGUAGAUAAAGAAGUUUCUCUUUCAGAAGACGGCAAGCAGAACCCAUACAGAAUUCAUGGUGCUAUGGUGCAUGUCGCUGAGGUGGUGUCUUGGCGAUUCUGAUGCUAUUAUUGGUAUUGGAGGGUUUCCCGAUUGGCUCAAGUAUGCCCUAGGCAUCAGUUUCCGAACUGAUAAUGAGCCUUUUAAGAGGGCAAUAGAAGGGUUUUGCUGUGUUGGUUGCCUAACAUCCCUCCAGCUGAAUAAAAAAAAGAGGGUACUGGUGGGAUGAGUUCUCAUUGGCUGAGCUGAACCUGCACCCGAGUCACCUGCUCCUAUGGGUUCGAGUUAAUCACUUGGUCUAUGGUUACUGCAUCGGUCCAGCUAGGUUCCCCGUGACUCCAAUGGAAUGCCAGCACCACUGCCACAAGUGAAAUCUCUACAAUACAUGGACAAUGCCUGUGAUGAGAUGCUAACACGGUUACCACCUAUAACAGUUCAGGUUUAAGUGGAGGGAACGAGAAAAAUGCCGAUAAUUUCAAGAAAUCAGUUUCUUGUGGACACUUUCGUGCUCACUGCUUGAGGGAAACGCUAUUCAUGCGUCGCUUUAGUUCAGAACAUAUUGGAAGUGUACUAGAGAUUAUUUUGGCUGCACCCGAAGGACUUCAGAGUUCCUGAAUUGAGCCCAACUGCAAUCAUAUCAUUGUUUCAUAGCCUCAUCCAUCCUGCUUUCUGCAUCAAAAAUUUUCCAGGUACGUAAAGUCUCAUUGAUUUCUGAAACCUCUAUUAUUGACUUGGAUCCUGGAAUUUUGAGAUCAAUGAGGCAUGUGAACACGUAUAUUUUAAGAUGGAUAAUGUAUUAAUUAUGACUGGAGAAUACAUGUGGAUUUCAGUCAAAAGUGUUGCAAAACUGUGGUCCCAAUACAGGCAAAGAGAUCACCAAACAAUGCACUCUCAGUUAUACCCCGGGUCCCACUUGUGAAUGGCUUGCCUGGCCAUCUUCCUGUGCAUAAUCUUAAAGCCUUGUGAUUUAUCCCU